rnacentral:rRNA from 1 species
CCUACGGGAGGCUGCAGUGAGGAAUAUUGGUCAAUGGACGAGAGUCUGUACCAGCCAAGUAGCGUGAAGGAUGACUGCCCUAUGGGUUGUAAACUUCUUUUAUAUGGGAAUAAAAUGUUCCACGUGUGGGAUUUUGUAUGUACCAUAUGAAUAAGGAUCGGCUAACUCCGUGCCAGCAGCCGCGGUAAUACGGAGGAUCCGAGCGUUAUCCGGAUUUAUUGGGUUUAAAGGGAGCGUAGGUGGAUUGUUAAGUCAGUUGUGAAAGUUUGCGGCUCAACCGUAAAAUUGCAGUUGAAACUGGCAGUCUUGAGUACAGUAGAGGUGGGCGGAAUUCGUGGUGUAGCGGUGAAAUGCUUAGAUAUCACGAAGAACUCCGAUUGCGAAGGCAGCUCACUGGACUGCAACUGACACUGAGGCUCGAAAGUGUGGGUAUCAAACAGGAUUAGAUACCCCGGUAGUC